rnacentral:rRNA from 1 species
CCUACGGGAGGCAGCAGUGGGGAAUAUUGGACAAUGAGGGAAACCCUGAUCCAGCGACGCCGCGUGAGUGAAGAAGUAUUUCGGUACGUAAAGCCCUAUCAGCAGGAAAGAAAAUGACGGUACCUGACUAAGAAGCCCCGGCUAACUACGUGCCAGCAGCCGCGGUAAUACGUAGGGGGCAAGCGUUAUCCGGAUUUACUGGGUGUAAAGGGAGCGUAGACGGCAGUGCAAGCCUGGAGGGAAAUGCCGGGGCCCAACCCCGGCACUGCUCUUGGAACUGGGUGGCUGGAGUGCAGGAGGGGUAGGCGGAAUUCCUGGUGUAGCGGUGAAAUGCGUAGAUAUCAGGAGGAACACCGGCGGCGAAGGCGGCUUACUGGACUGUAACUGACGUUGAGGCCCGAAGGCGUGGGGAGCAAACAGGAUUAGAUACCCGAGUAGUC